rnacentral:rRNA from 1 species
UACGAAGGGGGCUAGCGUUGCUCGGAACCACUGGGCGUAAAGGGUGCGUAGGCGGGUCUUUAAGUCAGGGGUGAAAUCCUGGAGCUCAACUCCAGAACUGCCUUUGAUACUGAGGAUCUUGAGUUCGGGAGAGGUGAGUGGAACUGCGAGUGUAGAGGUGAAAUUCGCAGAUAUCGGGAAGAACACCCGUGGCGAAGGCGGCACUCUGGGACGGUACUGACGCUGAGACGCGAAAGCGUGGGGAGCGAACAGG